UACGAAGGGGGCUAGCGUUGCUCGGAAUCACUGGGCGUAAAGGGUGCGUAGGCGGGUCUUUAAGUCAGGGGUGAAAUCCUGGAGCUCAACUCCAGAAUUGCCUUUGAUACUGAAGAUCUUGAGUUCGGGAGAGGUGAGUGGAACUGCGAGUGUAGAGGUGAAAUUCGUAGAUAUUCGCAAGAACACCAGUGGCGAAGGCGGCUCACUGGUCCAUUACUGACGCUGAGGUGCGAAAGCGUGGGGAGCAAACAGG
rnacentral:rRNA from 1 species